rnacentral:rRNA from 1 species
UACGGAGGGGGCUAGCGUUGUUCGGAAUUACUGGGCGUAAAGCGCACGUAGGCGGCUUGGUAAGUUAGAGGUGAAAUCCUGGAGCUCAACUCCAGAACUGCCUUCGAUACUGAAGAGCUCGAGUCCGGGAGAGGUGAGUGGAACUGCGAGUGUAGAGGUGAAAUUCGUAGAUAUUCGCAAGAACACCAGUGGCGAAGGCGGCUCACUGGCCCGGUACUGACGCUGAGGUGCGAAGGCGUGGGGAGCAAACAGG